UAAGGAAUAUUGGUCAAUGGACGCAAGUCUGAACCAGCCAUGCCGCGUGAAGGAUGAAGGUCCUCUGGAUUGUAAACUUCUUUUAUCUGGGACGAAAACGGGAUUUUUAUCUCAAUUGACGGUACCAGAGGAAUAAGCACCGGCUAACUCCGUGCCAGCAGCCGCGGUAAUACGGAGGGUGCGAGCGUUAUCCGGAUUUACUGGGCUUAAAGGGUGCGUAGGUGGGCUUAUAAGUCAGUGGUGAAAUCUCCGAGCUUAACUUGGAAACUGCCGUUGAUACUAUAGGUCUUGAAUUAUCUGGAGGUAAGCGGAAUAUGUCAUGUAGCGGUGAAAUGCUUAGAUAUGACAUAGAACACCAAUUGCGAAGGCAGCUUACUACAUAUAAAUUGACGCUGAGGCACGAAAGCGUGGGGAUCAAACA
rnacentral:rRNA from 1 species